rnacentral:tRNA from 1 species
GCUAAGAUGCCUGAAAAAGGGCCAUUUUGAUAGAAUGGAUCAUGCACCACCGUGCUCUUAGCC